GCAAAAUUGAAAAACACCCAUUUUAUUGGAGGACAUCUCUGGUUCAAAUGGCCAGGGUUGUCGAUGAAUCAUCACAUGUCAAGAUUCAUGAAUCAAAAGUUGGCACAUAUGAUGACACAGAGGAGGUGGAUGAUUUUCCUACAGAACAUGUUAGGCACAUAGUUCAGAUAACCAAAGACCCUACUCAACCGGCACUCAUUUGCUACUUUCUUGCUAGCACUGUCAACCCAAGUAAAUAAUUUGAUAAAGUUAGCAAAUCCUGAAUUCAAUGAAGUGAGGAAACUACAUCUGCCUGAUCAAGAUCCUAUAAAUCAUUAUAAAAAAAUAUUUCAAUAGUGUAAUAAGUUUUUAAGGUCAGGGUUAUCUGAUCAAGGUUGGUUGAGGACCUUUGACAUCACUGAAUGAAAGACUCCAAGAUCGUAGAGAAUUUGAGUCCAAAAUUCAAUACUCUUUACCUAUAAGCUUGUUUUUUAAAUUUAUGAUCAUUGAAAUUGAAGAAUAAUUACAUACAUUUUUAAAAUAUGGCUAACCUGCUGAAUUGUGUCCCUAAUUUUGCAGAUGAUUGGUUAUGGGUGGGCUGAGACUUUCAGAAAAUUCUUCGUUGACUCUCACAGUAUGUGGUAGCAUUCAAGAUUUAUGGGUACAUCAUCAUGUCCGAAGCACUUGGGUUUAUUAUGACUUCAAAUUGGGCCACUAUAUGAAGAUCCCUAAAAAAUCUAUGUUCUUCGUAUAGUCCCACUUUGGCAGCUUUAAGUGUCUACUUUGGCACAUCAUGGUGGUUUCUCACAACCAUUCUACACAUAUGUGAUGAUCUAAUUUUUCCUGAGGGUAAUCCAUGGACUUGCCCUAGCGAUUUUGUGUUCUACAAUGCUUCAAUCAUAUGGGGAGUGAUGGACCACAAAGAAUGUUCACAAAAGAUGGCAUUUGCCGCCUAAACUAAUUCUUCCAUGUAACGCCCCGUUUUCAGGGGUAACAAUAGUAACUGGUUUUCAAAUAAAUAUGCAAAA